CCGAACUGCCCGCUCGGAUACUACAUGCUACUGCUACGUGCUACUGCUAGAUCCUACUCCUACAUACUAAACACGUUGGCCCAAUUCGGACACACUAGACGAGCGGUGGGGAAAGACGACCCCCGCAGGCAGAGAGUAGGUACUGCGCCCGUGCAGACAGUGGUAACUGAAGCCCCUCAUCUGCGGGCCUGGCUGUAGUACUGCAGCUGUGCAGUUUAAUGAUGGAAUAAGUGAGCUUUACCUCCAUGAUGUCGCCACAUAUUUGCUCAUAAAAUGAUUACUUGGGCAAAUAUGACACCAUGACAUGACAAAGAGAUACAACCGCACAUUUUUUAGGACAGUGUGUGAAGUUACAUGAAACUUACAUCUGUACUGCUGCGGUCCCGCGACAUGGUGCGCGCUGUUGUGGCCAGCCGGCGUUCGCGAUACAUUUAAAUAGGCAGAGCAGCUGGUGGCGCUAGCAUCACAUGCGCUUCUACAACUUUUAAGAGGACGAAGAAGAAGCCCGUGGUGCAUUUUGGGUCAGUAGCAUGCCCGUAGGAUGCACCGAGACCAACCUACAAUGUGGGCGUGUCUAGUAUCUGAAGUAGUAUCUGAAGUAGCAUGCUACUCGCUCCGGUGGCCAAUUCGGACAUGCUAGAUACUACUUCGACUUCUACUUCGACUACUACUUGGCAAUUCGGACGCAGCUUAUUGCUGCGUCCGAACUGCCCGCUCGGAUACUACAUGCUACUGCUACGUGCUACUGCUAGAUCCUACUCCUACAUACUAAAAACGUUGGCCCAAUUCGGACACACUAGACGAGCGGUGGGGAAAGACGACCCCCGCAGGCAGAGAGUAGGUACUGCGCUCGUGCAGACAGUGGUAACUGAAGCCCCUCAUCUGCGGGCCUGGCUGUAGUACUGCAGCUGUGCAGUUUAAUGAUGGAAUAAGUGAGCUUUACCUCCAUGAUGUCGCCACUUGCUCAUAAAAUGAUUACUUGGGCAAAUAUGACACCAUGACAUGACAAAGAGAUACAACCGCACAUUUUUUAGGACAGUGUGUGAA